UACAGAGGGGGCAAGCGUUGUUCGGAAUUACUGGGCGUAAAGGGCGCGUAGGCGGCCCGCUAAGUCGAACGUGAAAUCCCCGGGCUCAACCCGGGAACUGCGUCCGAUACUGGUGGGCUUGAAUCCGGGAGAGGGAUGCGGAAUUCCAGGUGUAGCGGUGAAAUGCGUAGAUAUCUGGAGGAACACCGGUGGCGAAGGCGGCAUCCUGGACUGGUAUUGACGCUGAGGCGCGAAAGCCAGGGGAGCAAACGGG
rnacentral:rRNA from 1 species